AUUUAAAUAGCUUAAUUAGAGUGUUAUAUUGAAGUUAUAAUGGUGGAAUAUUUUCUUUAAAUG
rnacentral:tRNA from 1 species